rnacentral:rRNA from 1 species
UACGGAGGGUGCAAGCGUUAUCCGGAUUCACUGGGUUUAAAGGGUGCGUAGGUGGGUUCGUAAGUCAGUGGUGAAAUCUCCGAGCUUAACUUGGAAACUGCCAUUGAUACUAUGAGUCUUGAAUAUUGUGGAGGUCAGCGGAAUAUGUCAUGUAGCGGUGAAAUGCUUAGAUAUGACAUAGAACACCAAUUGCGAAGGCAGCUGGCCACGCAUAUAUUGACACUGAGGCACGAAAGCGUGGGGAUCAAACAGG